CUCCCAGAGUGCUGGAUUAUAGUCUGAGGCCCCUUCAUGUGCACAGGGUCAGAAGUUGGAGGCAGUUGGAGUAAACGCCAAGCUCAAAAUGUGUCUGAAACUACGCUGGAGCAAAAAUACACAGGGCCGAAUCCACGGGGCAAGCCCGCCUAAACAUAAGGACAUUUUCUGCAUUCAUUUCCAGACAGCAUACGUGGAUUCAUGAAUAGGCUGGAGACUUAGAGAGCUCGAAGAACCUGCCCCAGAUCUAUCGGGGGAGCGGCCCCUUGGGGACCUAAUCAAGUCACACUCAGGCUAGUGUUUUCCCUCAGCCAUGGUGACCUGCACCUCACUCCACAAAGGCCCACCAGAUCUUACCAGCAGGAC